CGUAGGGUGCGAGCGUUAAUCGGAAUUACUGGGCGUAAAGCGUGCGCAGGCGGUUUUGUAAGACAGAUGUGAAAUCCCCGGGCUCAACCUGGGAUCUGCAUUUGUGACUGCAAGGCUAGAGUACGGUAGAGGGGGAUGGAAUUCCGCGUGUAGCAGUGAAAUGCGUAGAUAUGCGGAGGAACACCGAUGGCGAAGGCAAUCCCCUGGACCUGUACUGACGCUCAUGCACGAAAGCGUGGGGAGCAAACAGGAUUAGAUACCCUGGUAGUCCACGCCCUAAACGAUGUCAACUGGUUGUUGGGUCUUUACUGACUCAGUAACGAAGCUAACGCGUGAAGUUGACCGCCUGGGGAGUACGGCGCAAGGUUG
rnacentral:rRNA from 1 species